UACGUAGGUGGCAAGCGUUGUCCGGAUUUACUGGGCGUAAAGAGCGCGCAGGCGGUCGUUCACGUCGAGUGUGAAAGCCCCCGGCUCAACUGGGGAGGGUCAUUCGAUACUGAUCGACUCGAAGGCAGGAGAGGGAAGUGGAAUUCCCGGUGUAGUGGUGAAAUGCGUAGAUAUCGGGAGGAACACCAGUGGCGAAGGCGACUUCCUGGCCUGUUCUUGACGCUGAGGCGCGAAAGCUAGGGGAGCAAACGGG
rnacentral:rRNA from 1 species